rnacentral:lncRNA from 1 species
CGAAGCCAAGGCUAUGCUGAGCCAGGCGGUUAUAGCAGCUGGAGUCUCGUUAGCCCUGCGGGGAGAAAGAGCAUCUCCAUCAUCAUGGCUGGAGGCCGGGACCAUGGAGGCAGACAAAGGAGCUAUGGAGGUGGACAGUUUGGGGUGGGAAGCCUAGCAAGGAGGGCUUUGGUCUUGACAGUGGUUUUGGGGAGCAUGGGUCUGUAGGUUCUCUGGUCUGCCCUGGAGGCAUCCAGGAAGUUGUGAUAAACCAAAGCUUGUUGGAGUCUCUGGAUGUGAUGAUUGACACUGAGGUCUAGGAGGUAAAGUAGUAGGAGCAGGAGCAGAUCAAGAAACUCAACAAGUUUUCCUUCUUCAUUGACAAAGUACAGUUCCUGGAGCAGCAGAACCAGGUGUUGCAAACCAACUGGGAGCUGCUGUGGCAGCUGGAUGGCAGCUGGAUGGCAGCUAGAUGGCAGCUACUGCUGCACCACUAGCCCAGAGCUCAUCUUCGAGGGCUACAUCAGCAACCUCAGGAAGCAGGUGGCCCAGGUCAUGGCAGAGAAAACCAGGCAGGAAGUAGAGCUCAAGAACACUCAGGACUCGAUGGAGAAAUACAAGAGGAAAUAUGAAGCAGAAAUCAACAACUGGACAAAUGCUGAAAAUGACUUUGUGGUGCUGAGA